rnacentral:lncRNA from 1 species
GAAUUUGUUUACUAAAUAUAUUUCCUAUUGUUUCUGAUUAAACCUAUACGUCACUACCUCUAUAAUAAAACAUCAAAAUAAAGUUGUCAGAAAUAGAUGUGGUUUGAUACCUAUCGUAAUACUUCAGUAUUAAAAAUUGAAAUAUUUUUUAAAAAUUCUUCAUACUUUUCAAUAUACUUUAAAAUUACUAAAACUUUUAAAGUAAAUGUGUUCUACUCUCUACAAAAUAACUUACAGAAAUAU